rnacentral:rRNA from 1 species
GGAUAACCUACCCUUAGGACCGGGAUAACCUUGGGAAACUGAGGAUAAUACUGGAUAGGCAAUUUUUCCUGUAAUGGUUUUUUGUUUAAAUGUUUUUUCGCCUAAGGAUGGGUCUGCGGCCGAUUAGGUAGUUGGUUAGGUAAUGGCUUACCAAGCCGUUGAUCGGUACGGGUUGUGAGAGCAAGAGCCCGGAGAUGGAACCUGAGACAAGGUUCCAGGCCCUACGGGGUGCAGCAGGCGCGAAACCUCCGCAAUGUGAGAAAUCGCGACGGGGGGAUCCCAAGUGCCAUUCUUAACGGGAUGGCUUUUCAUUAGUGUAAAGAGCUUUUGGAAUAAGAGCUGGGCAAGACCGGUGCCAGCCGCCGCGGUAACACCGGCAGCUCUAGUGGUAACAAUUUUUAUUGGGCCUAAAGCGUCCGUAGCCGGUUUAAUAAGUCUCUGGUGAAAUCCUGUAGCUUAACUGUGGGAAUUGCUGGAGAUACUAUUAGACUUGAGACCGGGAGAGGUUAGAGGUACUCCCAGGGUAGAGGUGAAAUUCUGUAAUCCUGGGAGGACCGCCUGUUGCGAAGGCGUCUAACUGGAACGGUUCUGACGGUGAGGGACGAAAGUUAGGGGCGCGAACCGGAUUAGAUACCCGGGUAGUCCUAACUGUAAACGAUGCGGACUUGGUGUUGGGGUGGCUUUGAGCUGUCCCAGUGCCGAAGGGAAGCUGUUAAGUCCGCCGCCUGGGAAGUACGGUCGCAAGACUGAAACUUAA